CAACAAAAUUGUGAGAUUUCCAGACACUAUUUUACAACUAAAGGGAUUAAAAACAAGAUGCAAGGAAACACAUCAGAGUUUGAAGGAAAGAAACAAUGAAAAGGACCUGUUUCAGCAUGGCUAACAAAGGAGGAUGUGACAGGAGGGCCGGCGGGGCAGAACACGUCCGCUUCCAUUCGUCAUAACGAAGAACUGUCAUGCAAGGUGAUGUCAUUUCUGUCAUCAGAAGGCUGCGCAUCUAGCCCAAUUUCCG
rnacentral:lncRNA from 1 species